AACGUACGCUGGCGGCACGCCUAACACAUGCAAGUCGAGCGAGGUAGCAAUACCUAGCGGCAGACGGGUGCGUAACAUGUGGGAAUCUGCCUUUUGGUUCGGAACAACACGGGGAAACCUGUGCUAAUACCGGAUAAGUCCUUACGGAGAAAGUUUUAAUGCCAAAAGAUGAGCCCGCAUUUGAUUAGCUAGUUGGUGAGGUAAAAGCUCACCAAGGCGAUAAUCAAUAGCUGAUUUGAGAGGAUGAUCAGCCACACUGGGACUGAGAUACGGCCCAGACUCCUACGGGAGGCAGCAGUGGGGAAUCUUGCACAAUGGGCGAAAGCCUGAUGCAGUGAUGCCGCGUGAGUGAAGAAGGCCUUUGGGUUGUAAAGCUCUUUUGUCGGGAAAGAUAAUGACUGUACCCGAAGAAUAAGGUCCGGCUAACUUCGUGCCAGCAGCCGCGGUAAUACGAAGGGACCUAGCGUAGUUCGGAAUUACUGGGCGUAAAGAGUAUGUAGGCGGCUAGAUAAGUUAAUUGUGAAAGCCCAAAGCUUAACUUUGGAAUUGCAAUUAAAACUAUUUAGCUGGAGUAUGAUAGAGGAAAGCGGAAUACAUAGUGUAGAGGUGAAAUUCGUAGAUAUUAUGUAGAACACCAGUUGCGAAGGCGGCUUUCUGGAUCAUUACUGACGCUGAGAUACGAAAGUAUGGGUAGCGAAGAGGAUUAGAUACCCUCGUAGUCCAUACCAUAAACGAUGAUUAUUAGAUGUGGGGAAUUAUUUCUCUGUAUCAUAGCUAACGCGUUAAAUAAUCCGCCUGGGGAGUACGACCGCAAGGUUAAAACUCAAAUGAAUUGACGGGGACCCGCACAAGCGGUGGAGCAUGUGGUUUAAUUCGAAGCAACGCGCAGAACCUUACCAACCCUUGACAUGUUCGUCGCGAGACUAAGAAAUUAGUCUCU
rnacentral:rRNA from 1 species